rnacentral:rRNA from 1 species
AUUGAACGCUGGCGGCAUGCCUUACACAUGCAAGUCGAACGGUAACAGGUCUUCGGAUGCUGACGAGUGGCGAACGGGUGCGUAAUACAUCGGAACGUGCCCAGACGUGGGGGAUAACGAGGCGAAAGCUUUGCUAAUACCGCAUACGAUCUAAGGAUGAAAGCAGGGGACCGCAAGGCCUUGCGCGUUUGGAGCGGCCGAUGGCAGAUUAGGUAGUUGGUGGGAUAAAAGCUUACCAAGCCGACGAUCUGUAGCUGGUCUGAGAGGACGACCAGCCACACUGGGACUGAGACACGGCCCAGACUCCUACGGGAGGCAGCAGUGGGGAAUUUUGGACAAUGGGCGAAAGCCUGAUCCAGCAAUGCCGCGUGCAGGAUGAAGGCCUUCGGGUUGUAAACUGCUUUUGUACGGAACGAAAAGGCUCUGGCUAAUACCUGGGGCACAUGACGGUACCGGAAGAAUAAGCACCGGCUAACUACGUG